UGGACUCUUUCUGGUAGACACUUUCUAACUCUAAUGUAAUCUCUGACAUUAGACAUGUAUAUCAGAAUCUCAUCGAGACACAUGCUGACUCUCAUUGAGCAUCAGGUGUACAAGCCAAUAAGGCAACACUUACUUUCUCUGUCACAAGAGGAGUCUGAGAAACACUACCUGGAAUCUUAAGAUCCUCAGGGUGGGGACAAGUUCUCUAGUAUCAUCAUGAAUAUGUGUUUGUCUGCAUAGCCUAGCAACACUGAGAUGGACAACUAGCUACGCACUGGGAAAACGCCUGUUCCUGCUGCCUGCUUGGUCCCAUGUCACCGAUAACCCUGUUGUUACUGAAGCAUGUAAAUUGUGUGGCUUGCUGUAAAUGAACCUGAAUGAAUGAGGCACAAACAUGUUUUGAUGCGGUGACCAUAGUAAAGCAACUGCCUCCCUCAAUAUGAGCUACUUCUGUGGAAGGGAAAAUUGGAAAGUUCACCAGCUGAAGCUUGUAGUUUGAAGUACGUGGAGGACAAAGCUCUAAAGGAAAGCAAGGACAAAAGAAGAAGACGUGGAGUGUAAAUGAUCACUGCUAUAUCCAUUUUGAAGAUCAAGAAGGAUGUCAUUCCACUGAGCAUCCCCUGUGUUUCGUGUCCCAUCACACUGCUUGAUUUGUCUUUAUUGCCUUAGUGUCACCUCAUGUUUAAUGGCUGGCUCCUUCAAUUCAAACGUACAAGGUAAAUGAGGGCAGUUUUCUUACUCUUACCCUCCCACUGAUUUUCUACAGCCUGGAAUAAUGUUUGCACAGUAAGCCCUUAAAAGUUAUUUAUUAAGUAGAGUGAUAUAUAUUUUGGUUUGUCAGGUUAAAAAAAAAAUAAUAUCCUCAAAUUGCAAUAAUCUGUCACUAUACAAGUACUCUUUGAUAGAGCAAAUUAGUAAUGCAGGAUUAUGAAAGGGCAUAAGUAAACUAUUGGGGGUCAUGAAAAUGUUCACCUUGCUUGUGGCAAUUGUUUCAAUGGAUAUAGACAUAUGUGAUGA